CGUAGGGUGCGAGCGUUAAUCGGAAUUACUGGGCGUAAAGCGUGCGCAGGCGGUUUUGUAAGCCAGAUGUGAAAUCCCCGGGCUUAACCUGGGAAUGGCAUUUGGGACUGCAAGGCUUGAGUUUGGCAGAGGAGACUGGAAUUCCCGGUGUAGCAGCGAAAUGCGUAGAUGUCGGGAGGAAUACCGAUGGCGAAGGCAGGUCUCUGGGCUAUAACUGACGCUCAUGCACGAAAGCGUGGGGAGCAAACAGGAUUAGAUACCCUGGUAGUCCACGCCCUAAACGAUGUCGACUGGUUGUUGGGGGUUUGACACUCUCAGUAACGAAGCUAACGCGUGAAGUCGACCGCCUGGGGAGUACGGCCGCAAGGUUA
rnacentral:rRNA from 1 species